rnacentral:rRNA from 1 species
GUAGCGAAAUUCCUUGUCGGGCAAGUUCCGACCUGCACGAAUGGCAUAAUGAUGGCCACACUGUCUCCUCCUGAGACUCAGUGAAGUUGAAAUGUUUGUGAUGAUGCAAUCUCCCCGCGGCUAGACGGAAAGACCCCAUGAACCUUUACUGCAGCUUUGCAUUGGACUUUGAACCGAUCUGUGUAGGAUAGGCGGGAGCCUGUGAAACCACAACGCCAGUUGUGGUGGAGGCGUCCUUGAAAUACCGCCCUGAUUUGUUUGAGGUUCUAACCUAGGAGCGUGAUCCGCUUCGGGGACCGUGCAUGGCAGGCAGUUUGACUGGGGCGGUCUCCUCCUAAAGGGUAACGGAGGAGUGCGAAGGUACGCUAGGUACGGUCGGAAAUCGUGCUGAUAGUGCAAUGGCAAAAGCGUGCUUGACUGCGAGACCCACAAGUCGAGCAGAUACGAAAGUAGGUCAUAGUGAUCCGGUGGCUCUGUAUGGAAGGGCCAUCGCUCAACGGAUAAAAGGUACUCUGGGGAUAACAGGCUGAUACCGCCCAAGAGUUCAUAUCGACGGCGGUGUUUGGCACCUCGAUGUCGGCUCAUCUCAUCCUGGGGCUGUAGCCGGUCCCAAGGGUAUGGCUGUUCGCCAUUUAAAGAGGUACGUGAGCUGGGUUUAAAACGUCGUGAGACAGUUUUGUCCCUAUCUGCCGUGGGCGCUGGAAGAUUGACGGGGGCUGCUCCUAGUACGAGAGGACCGGAGUGGACUCACCUCUGGUGUACCGGUUGUCACGCCAGUGGCAUCGCCGGGUAGCUAUGUGGGGAAAGGAUAACCGCUGAAAGCAUCUAAGCGGGAAACCUGCCUGAAGAUAAGUCUUCCUGGAGGCUAGACCUCCCUAAAGAGUCGUUCGAGACCAGGACGUUGAUAGGUUGGAUGUGCAAGCGCUGUGAGGCGUUGAGCUGACCAAUACUAAUUGCUCGUGAAGCUUGAUCCU